AUUUUUUUUAAUGUUUGGGCGAGAAGCCAGGUAUCCCACUGAAGUGCCUGAAGAUUUCAUGGUCGGUAUACAUGUCUCAAUAUGAAUCACUCUUAAAGAUCCACCUUUUUUUCUGGCCUUCAUUUCACCCUGACACCCUGACCUCUUAUCUUCAUCUUUUAGUAUAGCUUUUAUUUGUUUUACUUUAUCUUAGUAACUGUUCUUAUUGCCCUAUCGCAUUGUUUAUCUAUGUUGAUGAUUUAUGUUGUUUUUAUCUAUAUUGCUAGCACUUGUAUGUUGUGCAGCACUUUGGGCAACUAAGGUUGUUUUUAAAUGUGCUAUAUACUGUAAAUACAUUUUGAGUUGAUUUGAGAUUGAUGAAGUGUUGAAAAUAUGGACUGAAAGAGUGUAAAACAUGUGUUCACAGGUGGACAGCAGUGUUGAGGAUGUUGUUGGUGAGGAGGCUGUGUCAGAGGACAUAAAGCGCCUUGACCUCAUAAAAGACAUUCUCCACGAAAACAUUAUGAAACAGCAGGAGAGCACAAAGAGGCGCAUGAAGGAGGGUGCUGCCAAACCUGCAUUGAAAGUGGGAGACAAAGUAUGGAGACAGAAUGUCAGGAGUCAGCAAAGGAAAGGUGGCAAGCUGGAGCCAAAUUUCCUUGGCCCUUUCACUCUGGUGGCACUGCAAGGCAAAAGUGCUGAUCUGGUGGCAGAAGAUGGUAGGGUUUUUAAAAGUAUAAAUGUUGACCAUUUAAAAAUUGCCAAAGUGAAGCUGCCCCAAAUCCCUAGAAAAAUGGCCACAGCAGCUGCAGCCUCCACAGCACCACCAGCCGCGCCAGCAGCAGCGCCAGUACCACCGGCAGCGCCACCAGCAGCGCCACCAGCAGUGCCAACAGCACCACCACCAGCAGCGCCAUCAGCAGCGCCACCAGCACCACCACCAGCACUGCCACCAGCAGCGCCACCAGCACUGCCACCAGCAGCGCCACCAGCACUGCCACCAGCAGCGCCACCAGCACCACCACCACCAGCAGCACCACCAGCAGCGCCACCACCAGCGCCACCAGCAGUGCCAACAGCACCACCACCAGCAGCGCCACCAGCACCACCACCACCAGCAGCGCCACCAGCAGCGCCACCAGCACCACCACCAGCAGCGCCAGUACCACCACCAGCAGCGCCAGUACCACCAGCACCACCACCAGCACCGCCACCAGCAGCGCCACCAGCAGCGCCACCAGCAGCGCCGGCAGCGGCACCGGCAGCAUCGGCCUCCAU
rnacentral:lncRNA from 1 species